CUGGGCUUGACAUCCCGAUCGCACUUUAUGGAAACAUAGAGGUCAGUUCGGCUGGAUCGGAGACAGGUGCUGCAUGGCUGUCGUCAGCUCGUGUCGUAAGAUGUUGGGUUAAGUCCCGCAACGAGCGCAACCCUUGUCCUUAGUUGCCAUCAUUUGGUUGGGCACUCUAAGGAGACUGCCGGUGUUAAACCGGAGGAAGGUGGGGAUGACGUCAAGUCCUCAUGGCCCUUAUGUCCAGGGCUACACACGUGCUACAAUGGCCGGUACAAAGGGAAGCAAGACCGCGAGGUGGAGCCAAUCCCAAAAAGCCGGUCUCAGUUCAGAUUGGAGUCUGCAACUCGACUCCAUGAAGUUGGAAUCGCUAGUAAUCGUGGAUCAGCAUGCCACGGUGAAUACGUUCCC
rnacentral:rRNA from 1 species